UACGUAGGGUGCGAGCGUUGUCCGGAAUUAUUGGGCGUAAAGAGCUCGUAGGCGGUUUGUCGCGUCUGCUGUGAAAUCCCGAGGCUCAACCUCGGGUCUGCAGUGGGUACGGGCAGACUGGAGUGCGGUAGGGGAGAAUGGAAUUCCUGGUGUAGCGGUGGAAUGCGCAGAUAUCAGGAGGAACACCGGUGGCGAAGGCGGGUCUCUGGGCCGAUACUGACGCUGAGGAGCGAAAGCGUGGGGAGCGAACAGG
rnacentral:rRNA from 1 species